CCUCCUUAAAUCCUUAAAAGCAGUUCAUCAGCUUCAGUCAGAGCUACAUGAGACAUUACAAAAAAAAAUGACUAGUCCAAAUGAAAAACCUUUACAACCUUUACCCUAUAAGCCAGGAGAUUUGGUUUUUAUUCGCAGGUUUGAUUCCAAGACCCUGGAACCUCGCUGGAAAGGAACAGUUCCUGUUGUCCUGUCAACUCCUUUGGCGGUAAAGGUGCCUGGGCAUUCUGCCUGGAUACAUCGCAACCAUCUAAAACCAGGACCCCCUGCGGAUGUCAAAAAGGACAAAUGGAAGAUUAUCAGCCAACCGGGCAACCAAAAGCUAAGAUUGGAGCAGGACUUCUCUCAGUAUGUGACACCAGUGAGUGCAGACUCAACCUUCUCUCAUUUGCAUCUCCAGAAAUGCCAUCAGACUCAUGGGCUCACCUUGGGAGGAACCAGUCUGUCUGCCAGGCGUGUGCAACCCCUAUAUUGCUUUGAAAAGGAGGAGAAAGCCACACAUGGAAAGCAGGCCCUGGGGUCCUGGGUGUGGGCUCCACCAAGGCAGGCUCUGGCCAGGCUGGAGCCUCACCAGAGGAGUCACAGGGCUGGGAGCCCAGGCCAACCACACUUCUGCUCCUUUAGGAGACUUUUAUCAAAUAAAUAUAGAAAAGGGCAUAGCACCAUGCCCUGGCUCUCAGCGGCUGGAUGGCUGAGUUAGAGGCAGGGCUGGAUGCUCGGGGAGUAAGUGGCAGACUCCCACAGACCCACUGAGGUAGAGGCACGAGGUGCCUGAGUACUGGAUUGGGACACAGGGAAGGGGAAUGGGCGGCCCUGCUACUUCUGGCAAGAGAUGGCCCCAUUUUUUACAGAUAGGGAAACUGAGGCACAAGGAAUUUUGGGAACUUGCCCAAUGUCACUCACAGUGAGUCAGCUUUUUGGGGGGUUGGAGGCAGCUCACACUCUGGGAAUCAGUGAAGAACAAGGACAGGCAGGAAGGGCCUGAGGAUGCCUGGAAGGGAUACUGGGCCUCUCAGAGGACACACACACGGUGGGUAGGUCUCCAGGGAAGGGUCCUUGCUUGACACUGGGCAGGGCAGGACAGGGCAGGGCAUUCUGGUGAGAACAGCAUUUCUGGCAAGACUGGCAUCCACUUCAAAAUCAUGGCUCAAAAGGCCAUCAGGGCUGUUCUCAAGCCAGGCAGAGUAGGAUCUCAAUCCCUAAUGAGAAUUCUGGUUUUGUGAAGGGGUCAGCGAACCUGCAAACUUAUUCUACAAAGGGGUGGGUUCCUUAUUUCAACCUUGGAAACAUAACUCUGUUUUGCCUCCCGGUCACAAGUUGAGGCCUCAAUGGUCCCAUGAUACUGUGACACUCAAGGGCAAGUGGGCAUAAACUGAAGACAACCUGGUUGUUCUAGAACCCAGUAGCAGUAAAAAAAAAGAGAGAAAGGUUUCACCUGGGGGAAGGACAACUUCUUUAUUAGCCUGCUAUCUUGUCCCACCUACUACUGUAAGAAUGCUCUCGCUCCGCCCUCAUCAACAUAAGAUCCUCAUGACCUAAGAUCCUCAUCAGCAUAAGAUCCACAUGGAUUGGGCCUGGGAUUUAGCUCAGUGGUUCCCCCUCCUGCCUCAAAAGCACAAGGUCCUGAGUUCAAUCCCUGGUACCAAAAAAAAAAGAUCCACAUGGACACAGGAUUACCUCUGCCCUCUAAUCACCUGAUACUCCCUCCAAUUAUUGUGUGUACCCAAUAAAUAAUGGCUAGCUCAGAGAGUCUUUGUCUUUGCUUACUCUGAGGCACUAACCUCCUGGCCCACCCCCAUAU
rnacentral:lncRNA from 1 species